ensembl:lncRNA
GGUACAGAGUUAAUGUGGAGGCUAUAUACAGGGUGUUACGGUACAGAGUCAAUGUGAAGGCUAUAUACAGGGUGUUACGGUACAGAGUCAGUGUGGAGGCUAUAUACAGGUGUUACGGUACAGAGUCAGUGUGGAGGCUAUAUACAGGGUGUUACGGUACAGAGUCAAUGUGGAGGCUAUAUACAGUACAGAGUCAGUGUGGAGGCUAUAUACAGUGUGUUACGGUACAUAGUCAAUGUGGAGGCUAUAUACAGGGUGUUACGGUACAGAGUCAAUGUGGAGGUUAUAUACAGGGUGUUACGGUACAGAGUCAAUGUGGAGGCUAUAUACAAGGUGUUACGGUACAGAGUCAAUGUGGAGGCUAUAUACAGGGUGUUACGGUACAGAGUCAAUG